CCCUUAGAUGUCCGGGGCCGCACGCGCGCUACACUGAUCAGUGCAACAAGCAUCCGUCCUUGGCCGACAGGCCCGGGCAAUCUUUGAACGCUGAUCGUGAUGGGGAUAGACUUUUGCAAUUUUUGGUCUUCAACGAGGAAUUCCUAGUAAACGCAAGUCAUCAACUUGCAUUGAUUACGUCCCUGCCCUUUGUACACACCGCCCGUCGCACCUACCGAUUGAAUGGUCCGGUGAAGCCUCCGGAUUGGCGUGCACCCUCGGGUGCUGCCGAGAAGUUGGCUAAACCUUACCAUUUAGAGGAAGGUGAAGUCGUAACA
rnacentral:rRNA from 1 species